AGCUGGUGCUCAGCAGUAGCUUCGGGUCUUGACUCAAAUAUUGCCUUCUUAGUGCAGUCUUCCUCACCCACUUUAUUCAAAACUGUACACUCCCUUCUCUGUACCCCUGGCCUUUCUCGUUUAUUUUUCUCCGUACAUCUUACGCCCGUCCUCUGACAUACCACCUGUUUUACUUGUUUAUGUAUCUGUGCCCCCAGAAGACUGUGAACUCCGGCAGGGGAGAGAUCAUGCCUGUCUCGUUCACCAUCAAAUCCUCCAGGCUUAUUCUGCUGCUGGCCACAGAAGACCUGCCAAAGCCUCCCUUGCCACUCUCGCUAAAAACUUCACACUGCCCUGACCCUGC
rnacentral:lncRNA from 1 species